CUUUCAACUCGUUCUCUGGAGGCUCUGGCGGUUAGCUGGGAACCAGUGGAGAGAGUCUGGAGUCCGGGAGAAGGUCCGAUUGAGAAGAUCUUGGACCCACAAGUUCUCACUGCUGUGGAGCUAGACCCACUGCUACUGGCCUCUGAAGAAGCAAGCUUUCAUGUUGAGAACUGCCUAUGGAGAGGGCCUGGUGGCAGGGAAGUGUAGAUGGUUUCUAGAACCUGGGUGCAACCAGUCAGAAGCCUCAACACUACAACCACAAGGAAAUGAAUUCUGCCAACAAUCUUAGAGAGCUUAGAAGUGGAUUCUUUCCCAAUCAAGCCUCCAGAGAAGACAACCUAACACCUUGAUUGCAACUUUGUGAAACCUUGAAUAGAGGAAACAGUUCAAGUGUGCCUGUAACCCUAGCUCACAGAAACUGUUAGAUAAUAAAUGUG